AUCUCUUUGCCCUCUGGCUUAGAUCAAGUGUAGUAUCUGUUCUUUUCAGUGUAACAACUGAAACUCUCCUACUGGGAGAAUUUUAAAUUUGUUACUUUUAUUUUUGGUCCUGGUGAUUUACUUUCAAUGGGCUUGCUUAUUGGGUUAAUUACAUCGUGUCGCUGCUGUUUUUCAGCUUCUGACGCAACUUAUA
rnacentral:snRNA from 1 species